AAUCUGUAUUUGAUUUGUAAUCUUAUUUCUUUUUUUCUUUAUUCAUGACAUUUUAUUUAUGGAUGAAGUUUAACUUCUUUAUACUAAUGAUCACGGGAAUUACGACGAAUCAUGAAUCUUUCAUCAUGAAAAUAUGAACGCUCGAGUAUAUACGUAGAAUAAAGUAAUUUGUCGAAAAGCGAGUUACCGGUAUUAAUUAUAAUAAACAAUUUGUUUCUGAUAAAUUAUAUCAAUUAUGGAUUAUGUUAAGAAUUUCUUUUUUACGCGACACGUGAGCUCCGAUUCAAUGUAGAAAACAUGUUGACAUAUGUGUUUCAGAUACGUGUGCCUCGUUAAAGCGACGGAAUAAAAGACGCGUGAUAGAAUUCAGCGGCGUGCGAGGAUCUUCCUCCGGAGAUCUCGUAAUUGGCGGCGUUUCGUACGCCGGCGUAGCACGUGCGCAGUAUCUCGACCAAUAGCGAGAAAUCUGUAACAGGGCUGCCUUGAUCGACAUUUAAUUGGGCCAAGACAUCCAGGCACCGAGAAACGCAGACGGCCCUGAGGAGUUUACCGAGAGAGCUUUACCAGCCGAAAGGGAGGGCAGGGGGAAUUCUCUCUCCGGGCGAGGAACGAGAGCGCAAGAGAUGUGGAACGAAGGAAGAGAUUAGGCAUCUAUGUUAAUGAGCGCGGUCAACAAUGCAAUU